GACCAGAGACCUGCACUCCUUUGGAUGAAGAAGGCUACCCGUGUAUACAUGUCUGAACCAUUUCUUGUGUUGGAAAAACAGGAGACCUGAAGAGCUCUUGAUGCUUUUGGUUUGCCUCAUCUAUUAUGUCGGCAAAGAACAGGAGUGGGCAGGAAACAUGCGCUGUUGAAAACAUGGCCAACCAACUGGAGCACCCACACUCUUGUGAAGGAAGUCCACAAGCCUUUGUGCUUCAGGAUGGAUGGAAAGAACUCUUUGAUCAACCCCCACAGAGAGCUGAGGUGGCUAUCUUUUGGAGACACCCCCGGCUGGUAGUGCUGCUGAAACUGGUGGAGGCAACAAUGAAGCGGCAACAGAAAGAGAAGGCAGGUGGCAAAGGUUGCUGCUAUUGAAAAAUACUUUGAGAGUGAGUGUGUGUGCAUGUAUGUAGCUGGGUAGGUCAUGGUACAUGGUACAAAAAUACAGAAUUUAAAGCACUAGCACAACACUUAACUCACAACCCAAAACUACUGACAAUGGAAUUACUCUUUUAGAGUGAGUGAGUGAGGGAGAGAGAUAGAAUAUUUCUGUAAAUGUUUAAUGUUAAUUUAGAAUAAUUUAUUUCUUUGAAUCAUUAUACAGUUUUAAAAUG